rnacentral:rRNA from 1 species
UACGUAGGGUGCAAGCGUUAAUCGGAAUUACUGGGCGUAAAGCGCGCGUAGGCGGCUUUGUAAGUUAGAGGUGAAAGCCUGGAGCUCAACUUCAGAAUUGCCUUUAAGACUGCAUCGCUUGAAUCCGGGAGAGGUGAGUGGAAUUCCGAGUGUAGAGGUGAAAUUCGUAGAUAUUCGGAAGAACACCAGUGGCGAAGGCGGCUCACUGGACCGGCAUUGACGCUGAGGUGCGAAAGCGUGGGGAGCAAACAGG